rnacentral:lncRNA from 1 species
UUAUCUCUCCCUAAUAACCUUUUGCUCCUUAUUUCCCUAAUAAUAUUAAUUAUAUACGUUGUAAAGCCUUGCUGUCAUGGCUUUAUUCGCUGUUUCCUCGGAUGUAAAUUCUUCUAAUAUUCAUUAAGCUUUUAAACUCCUCUUCUUGAUUGCAAUUUUUUUCCAAUAUUGAGUGACUUUUGAUUUUUUCACUCAACUUAAUAAAUCAGAUUUCCUGUUAAAUUACUUUCUGUACUUGUUCCACACAAUGGCUUAUCUCUUAAACAUAUAGCUUCUUUCUUCUGUCUUGUUCACCACCUUGUCUCUCUAACAAAACUCCUUUACUCAACAUAAGCACUUAGAGGCAGGACAGACCCAAUAAAAAGAGAGAAAACACCAAUUUUAAACACCUGGAUAAUUGUUACUGUGAUAUCUCAUCUAACCACCCUACCAUCAACCAUGCACUCACCUUUUGUAGCCACAGUCCAUCGUACAAGGUCCUGAGCUAUAGUUUCCUUAAUCUGAUCCCAUAUGCUUUGCUUCUUUUUAGAAUUCUUCCCUGCUCUGGUCCUCUAUAAUUUAUUCUCCUUAUUUUUGAAGAUGGUUACAUAUUUAUAUUGUUUCUUAAAUUUCUAGGCAUUUAUUUCAGGAGAGGAAGUCUAUAGUUUGUGCUCAGUUCUUCUUAAAACACAAGCCACCACAGCUUUCCUAGGAAUGCCAGAAUUUCACUAAACUGGAGUUUCAACAGGACUUGAAAACCUCAUUUCAGAAUUAGAACAGGGAAUACUAAUCAAAAUUCAUGAUAAUAAUCUUAAGUCAUUAAGAAAGAUGUUUUAAAUCUUUCUUAUAUUCUACUGAAAAAGACAGGAAACUAUGUAAUACAUCUUGGAAAGCAUCCUAUUUCUCUUUUUAUUUGUGAUAUUUCCAUCUUCCCUAUUCCCACCAGCCAAAAAUAUAUUCAAAUUUCUGUAUCCAAAAAAGACCUUAUCUACUUUUUCCUCAGGUUUCUGUCACCAGUUCUUUCCUUCUUAUCAUCACCAGACUUCAUAAGAGUUGCUGAAAGUUACUUCACAAUUCUAUCCCUAGCCCAUUGGAUGUUGGUUUCUGCUUCUACUGUCUUGCUGAAACUUGUCUUAAAUGUCAUCAAAAACUGCCCAGUUGCCAAAAUCAUCAGCUUGUUUCUUGGUUUAUUUCAUUCCAUCUUUGUUUCCACUGAUAAUUCCUAUCCAGUUAGGAUUCAUAGCUUUUCUUCUUUGUGUUCACAGCAUGUCACAACAAUCUUGAGACUUUGAACAGCACGUGUCUCACACUCCUGUAUAUAUUUACCCAGCAUUAUAUCUUACUAGUGCACUUUGGAACUGUUCCCAUCUCCAGAUACAAUUAGAGGAAAGCACUGACCCCAUCCCAAGUCAAGCCUUGAGCCUGCAGAUUCCUGAUGGUAGGAGUGAGGGUCCUGCCCUCAGGACCCGCUGGAGGGUAGAACAGGUGGGUUGAUGUCUGCUAUAUUUCCUCUUGGGCCAACGCACUUCAGUAAAUGGUCUCUAUUUUAGAAGCCCAAAUAUCAAGAGGACUUUAGAGGACUGGACUAGGAUAUCCUGAGACUCAAAGCAUUAACAAGAUCAUGAUGCCCAUUGCCAUAAGUAAUUUAAAAGAUUUGUUUUUCAAUGACACAAAACCUCAUGUAUGCUGUGAUCUAGCUAUUCUAAUUUGGGGAACUUUCUGACAUUACUAAAAACCAAACUUCUUUGUAUUUUAGUGAAUUUCUGUGUAUCCAUUUGGGGGUGGGAGGGCUUGUUUUUCUCUUUUCUUUACAUAUUUAGCCCUCCUGUGGGGUAUUCUACCUAUAUGCAGAUUAGAAAACAACCAAGGAAAGCUAGAUUUUCUUUUUCUACCUGGGUCUCUGACUGACCUAACCAGUUGCAUCUAUUUCAGAAUGGAAACAAUUUGUACCAACAACAAACCUUAAUUAAUAAAUCCAAAAUAGAUAAAGUUUCAUAUGCUGUGCUUUGGAAAAUAACUUAUUUCUGAAUGUGAGUCAUUCUAAGAACAAACUCUAAUUGAUCAUGUAAAUUCAGCCUAUACAAAUUUGUGUUAAAUAUCAUUACUUAAUAAACUUCUUAACCACCUUCCUGAUUUUGAGCCUGCUUUCAAAUUUUAAUUAGAUGUAAUGAUCAGACAGUUAUAAAAUGCUAACAUUCAAAGAGGAAUUGAUGUACAUAGUUUUCACCCUAAUAUUUGGGACCUGCCAUUCUGGAUUCCAAAUGUAACCUGUGCAUGGUUUCUUAGGACUCACUGGGUGUGUAUCGUCUAAGGACUCUAAACGUAAUGCAUGUAAUAGUUACAUUCAUAGGAUGGCUAUGUAAUUUUAUUAACCAAACUAGUAAGCUUCAAAAUGCAAACUAUAAUACAUACAAGUUGUAGCCUGUAGUUGUUUCCAGAAUCAGACUUUUAAAGUUAAAAUUCUCAUUGUUUUUAAUUCAGAUAUCUUUUACUCUGGACUAAGAGGCAAUCCUCCCCAUUCUUGGUGUUUAACAGGAGGCAGCGACUUUAGAAUUCUCUCCCAUUUCAAGUGCCCACAAAACUGCUAUUGCUGCUUACAAAAGUUGUGCAUAAGCCUGGAUACAAAACAAACCCUAUGGGGAAAGAAAAAAAAAAACGGGUCGAUGAAUUCACCCAAGUGCAAAUUACCUCAAGAUUCAUUUUUCCCUUUUUGUAGAACUAACAAGUGAAUCUUACUGAGUUGGGACCAAAGAAACCCACUGAAGUGAGCCUUUAAGAGACAUUUGUGCUGGUGAUGACAGCAUUUUCAUGGUAAUUUGUUAAUGUUCUUGCAAAGCAGGGGUAAUUUACUCCAGUAAAAUCUAGCUAAUAGCCUUGUAGAUUUGAGGCCUUCAACCAAGGGCCACAUGCAGGCCUUGGGCGGCCUAGUGCCUGUAGGACUGCAUAACCACCAGAAGAUCUCACACCUGACCUCCUGGCUCACACCUGACCUCCUGGCUGACUCCCUUUCUCAGCCUCACACCACCGUCACAUCUCAGAUCCAGUUCCCAGUAUGGGACGUCCAAUUGGUGUUAAAGGGAGCAGGGAGCUUGGGAAGGGGCAGGGCAGAAGGCACAGCAUUUGUGAGUGUUAAACUCAGGAAGGCAUGAACCUUCAAGCUCUCUUUUUUGGAGGCAGGCUUUAACACAAAGAAAAGAAAAUGAUGUGUAAAAACAUACAUCAAUAUCAUUCAUUUUCUUUUCUGAUUAUAAAAAUAAUACACAUUCAUUAUAGAUUUUUGAAAAACAGAAAGACCUCCAAAUGGGGACAAAAGCACCAAUAAUUGUAUCUAGACAUCUUGAUGCAGUUCCUGCCAGUUUUUCUCCAUGCAGACUUUAAUUACUUUAUGCAAAUUUAUUGUGUAUGAAUACUUUUUUAAGAAAAUCUGAUUUUUUGGCCACAUAAUAUCACUAUUUGUAUGCACUGUAAGUUAUAAAAUGUUUCCAUUAUUAGACAAUAUAGGUGAUUUCCAUUAUUGCAUAACUAUAAAUAACAUAGCAGUGAACAUCCUUAUACAGAAAUCUUGGUCUCCCACUCUAAUUAGGUUUUUAAGAUAGAUUCUCAGAAGGGAUAAGUGGAAUCAACGGGCAUGGAUGUUUCAACAUAUUUGAUACAUAAAAUCAAGUCAAAUUGCUCUGCAGAAAAGCCACAUCGAUUAGACAGUGUGUUCAGCCACGUGGUAGGAGAGGCCUUUAUUAAUGCACUUUCACCAACAUUGAGUUUUUAAUCUGUGCUAAUUUGACUGGUAAAAUGACAGAUCGAAAGUCACAUUUUCAGUUUAUGUGUACAAAAGUUAUUAUAUAUAGCUCAGUUUGCUCAUAAAAUUAACAUAUUUGGGCCAUUUAGAAAGCCAUAAAAUGAGUCACUGAAUACCAAAAGUGACUUCAAAGAGCAUGGAAUAUACUGAAGGCGAAAUUGUUUGCCCAGGCCACUCUGUAGUGAUGAACUCAGGACUAAAACCCAAGAAUUCUAUUUCCCAUCCCAGCGUUCCUAAGAAGAGAUUUUUAGUAAGAUAGAACCUGCUUUAAAAUGCAGAAAGAAUGGAGAGGCGGAGGAGACUUUUAACUGUGGUUUGAUAAAGCUGUUUUCCUCACUAAUUUUUCAAUGCUUUCACACUGUCCGAGGCUGGUGGUCCUGACAUCUGGCAGCUUUUUAACCUUAACUUUUGGAGGGGAAAAGUCAAGAAAUACAAAGUUGUUUCAGAAUUAACCAAAGCAAAGUAUCACUAGGAAGCUCAGUCCAUUCCGAAGAUAUCUCAAGAGACCAUCUAUAAUAAAAUAUAAAUGACUCCUCGUGGUCUCUACCCGAGUUGUCUGUGAUUCAUUCAUGGUGAGAACAUGAAGGUAUAAAGGCCACAACUAAAGAUUUUGCUUGUUACCACGCCUUUAAAACUUCCUUUUUAAUUUUUUACAUGCAAUUCUCAAUUCUUCCCAAUGAGAGAAAGGAUCUUUGUCCCCUCCCCUUGAAUCUGGGCAGGUUUGUGACUGCUUUGACCAAUAGAGUAUGGAAGUGGUGCUAUGUGAUUUCCGAGUCUAGGUGAUAAAAGGCAAUGCAUCUUCCUCCUUCUCUUUUGGGAACACUUGUUCUUGGAGAUAUUAGCCAACCUGUGAGAAGCACCAAUACCCUGAGGCCAUUAUGAGGAAGUUCACACCACAGAGAGAGACCCUGAGUAGAUGUGCUGAUUUACAGUUCCAGCUGAAUGCAGCCUUUGAAUCACCCCAGCCCAGGUGCCAAACAUGUGAGAGAAGAAGCUUCCAGAUCAUUCCAGUCCCCAGCCAUCUGAGUCAACUUCAGCCUUUGUGUCUGCCCAGUGAAUGCCUCAGACAUCAUGAAGCAGAAGCAAGUCAUCCUUACUGUGCUCUGUCUGAAUUCCUGACUCACACAAUUAAUGAGCAUAAUAAAAUGAUUGUUGUUUUAUACUCCUGUGUUCUGGGGCAUUUGUUGUGCAGCAAAAAAG